rnacentral:tRNA from 1 species
UUGUCGCCGUAGAUGAUCGUGAUUCCAUUCGGCUCGAAGCCGAGGGUCUGACCGGCGGCAAGGUUGUUCACGCCGGUCACGUCGGCGAUCGACAGA